rnacentral:rRNA from 1 species
AUUGAACGCUGGCGGCAUGCUUUACACAUGCAAGUCGAACGGCAGCGCGGUCUUCGGCCUGGCUGCGAGUGGGGAACGGGUGAGUAAUGCAUGGGAACGUCCCCAGCUGUGGGGGAUAGUCCGGUGAAAGCCGGAUUAAUACCGCAUAAGAGCUGAGGGUGUAAGCGGGGGAGCGAAAGACCUUGCGCUAUUGGAGGGGUCGAUGCGGGGUUAGCUAGGUGGUGGGGUGAAGGGUUACCAAGGCGACGAUCCGUAGCUGGACUGAGAGGCCGAGCAGCCACACUGGGACUGAGACACGGCCCAGACUCCUACGGGAGGCAGCAGUGGGGAAUGUUGGACAAUGGGGGCAAGCCUGAUCCAGCCAUGCCGCGUGCGGGAAGAAGGCCUUCGGGUUGUAAAGCGCUUUUGUUGGGGAAGAAAACCUCUGGGCUAAUACCCCGCGGGUAUGACGGUACCGGAAGAAUAAGCACCGGCUAACUACGUG